rnacentral:rRNA from 1 species
ACGAAGGGACCUAGCGUAGUUCGGAAUUACUGGGCGUAAAGCGCGCGUAGGCCGUUGAGUUAGUUAAUUGUGAAAUCCCAAAGCUUAACUUUGGAACUGCAAUUAAAACUGCUCGACUAGAGUUUGAUAGAGGAAAGCGGAAUACAUAGUGUAGAGGUGAAAUUCGUAGAUAUUAUGUAGAACACCAGUUGCGAAGGCGGCUUUCUGGAUCAACACUGACGCUGAGGCGCGAAAGUAUGGGUAGCAAAGAGGAUUAGAUACCCUCGUAGUCCAUACCAUAAACGAUGAUUGCUAGAUGUUGGAAAUUUAUUUUCAGUAUCGCAGCUAACGCAUUAAGCAAUCCGCCUGGGGAGUACGACCGCAAGGUUA